rnacentral:sRNA from 1 species
AAAAAAAAAUCCAAAAA